rnacentral:lncRNA from 1 species
ACGCUUGUCCUAUCUAUAAAUUGAGCAUACGCUCUUGCAGUAGAUGCUUAAACAAAACUCGUUCUUAAUUCUAACAAUCGGUUAGCUAUAUAGUACCGUUCUCAACCCAGUUAUAAAAUUAUAGUAGAUAUCCAUGGUUGAGGUUUGUGAGGAAAGCCACGAUGAAGACAAAUUCGAUUUUGAUGUUGAACUUGCAGAAGGUUGCAUAAUAAUCGAAUAUCAAUGAUUUACCAGAGGUGUAUUUCAAACUUUUAGUUUCAUUAAUUGCUGAUAAAUGAUGUUCUUAAUUUAUUUCAUAGAUACCAAUGCAAGACCCUUCGUUUACGUACCUUAUAUGUCAUCUCUACGAUCUUUUUUUGGUUCCAUAGACCAUGCCGACUGAUGUUCACUUGAGAUGAUUACUUGCAGGGGCUCACCUCCAAUGUUUCGAGGCUCCAUAACCAUAAGGACCCAAUUGCCUCUAGCAAACAAUUCGUUCUCGUCAUCAGGUUAUGCGGCCGCUGAAGCUCUCGCUCGAGGAGGAGGCCAUGGACUGCGGCAAUAUCAAUGCUUUGAAUGGAGCCGCAAUAAUACUUGGAGGAGGGUGAGACAGAGCAUUUCCAGGCCUCAUCAGAAUCUUUUUGCCGCAUAAUAAUUGGCAGACCCGGUUCAACCUCAAUUUCUGGUCUCACCAGAGUAUAGACAUGCGGCAUGAGGAAGAGUCUUCUCAAAACAUAUGGUGUCUCCAAACCUAGCACUGAGGAGAUACAUUUCCUCGAACAUCGCGUGGUCCACCCCUUUAACCACCAUCCCCACAAGUGAAAUAACAGGAUGAUUAAAACAGGAGACUUCGUUAUGUAAUUGGAUUUGUCAAUUGUUGGAUUAAUAUUGGACAUUCGUUACAGCUGCUUCUGUUUAUAGUUCAACUCAAACUAUAUAUACCAAACUCAGACCGAGUCUAGAACAAGUACUUGGGCAUGGAUGUAUUGUUAAACUUGUGGGUUCCAUGUAGACAAAUAAAAUGGAGCAAAUGUGUUUUAACCUCAGCAAAGUGGUGUUGGUCUGGUGUGACUUAAAACCACACAGCACUUGUUUUUAUGUAAUACUAAACCUCUUGUCUUCAAGGUCACUCUCAUUGCAAAUUGCAAGCCACAUUUGCCUAGUAAGGGUCAUACAGGUGAUGAUAAAAUUGUACCUAGGCAUGUGGAGGACAGCAAUGUGAUUUCACUUAUCGAACUCUGGCUUUUGGACCUACUCUACAUGUCACAAUAUUGCAUCAACUACUUUCUGAGAAAGUGCUAUGUAGCAAAAGUGCAAAGCUAGCAAUAGAUAUGAUAUAAACACCAAAUGUUGAAGAUCAAGACCCAUCUAAUUCCUCCAUCCCCACAACUCCAAGAAACUCGAUCUUGUGUUUAAUAACUGCACAGUGGACCUUAUCACUUCCAUGAACAGACUCACAGCUACUGCCAUUGGUAGUCUCAAAUGAAACUUCAAUGUUCUCAAGAAUAAGCGCACAAGGUGAUAAAAUGUUGAAGCAAGAAUCUCGUCGCUCCGGGGUAAAGCAAAUAUACAAAUUUAUGUGCAACAACAUCAAUUCACCCUCUAAGUUCUAACUUCUAUCUACAUUAAGUUUUAACUUUUUAACUUGUGUCUAAAUUUUGAGUAG